UGCCAGGCGCGGAGGGAGCCGCGCACUCCCCAGCCCCCGCCCCCCUGCGCGGCCGGGGGACGGCGGAGGCGGUGCCGGGGCGGGGAGCGCCCCCCGGGCAGGGGAGGCCGGGCCGGGCGACAGCUGCGAGCCGUGGGGCGCCGGGCGGGGCGGGCGCUGAGGAGGCAGCCGGCGGCCGCGCAGCCCGCCCCGGCUUGCCCAGGCGGCGCGGCCCCGAGGCGAUGGAGCAGGAGAAGUACCUGCCCGAGCUGAUGGCCGAGAAGGACAGCCUGGAUCCCUCCUUUGUGCACGCCAUGCGCCUUCUGGCCGACGAAAUUGAAAAAUUUCAGGGUUCUGAAGGAAAGAAGGAAGAUGAGGAAAAGAAAUACCUUGAUGUUAUCAGCAACAAGAACAUAAAGUUGUCAGAGAGAGUUCUGAUCCCUGUCAAACAAUACCCAAAGUUCAAUUUUGUUGGGAAGUUGCUUGGACCAAGAGGGAACUCCUUGAAGAGGUUACAAGAAGAAACAGGAGCAAAAAUGUCUAUCCUGGGAAAAGGCUCCAUGAGGGAUAAAGCUAAGGAGGAAGAACUGAGGAAAAGUGGAGAAGCUAAAUAUGCGCAUUUGAGUGAUGAGCUUCAUGUAUUAAUUGAAGUGUUUGCUCCACCUGGGGAAGCAUAUUCUCGUAUGAGUCAUGCCUUGGAAGAAAUAAAAAAAUUCCUCGUUCCUGAUUAUAAUGAUGAAAUUCGUCAGGAGCAACUGAGAGAGCUGUCAUAUUUGAAUGGUUCCGAGGAUUCAGCACGUGGACGGGGUAUUCGAGGAAGAGGGAUCCGUGUGCCGCCUGCAGCUCCUUCAAGGGGCCGUGGGGGUGCGAUUCCUCCGCCCCUCCCUGGACGAGGUGCCCAAGCACCCAGAGGAGCACCAGUGACUCGUGGAGCUCUCCCCGUCCCACCUGUAGCAAGAGGUGUUCCCACACCUCGAGCAAGGGGGGCCCCAGCGGUACCAGGCUACAGACCACCCCCACCACCUGCACAUGAGGCAUAUGAAGGAUAUGGAUAUGAUGAUGGAUAUGGGGGUGAAUAUGAUGAUCCAAGCUAUGAGACGUAUGAUAACAGUUAUGCCACCCAAACACAAAGUGUGCCUGAAUAUUAUGACUACGGUCACGGAACAAGUGAAGAGGCUUAUGACAGCUACGCACAAGAAGAAUGGGCCACAACCCGUUCCAGCCUAAAGGCACCUCCUCCAAGGUCAGCUCGAGGUGCUUACAGGGAACACCCCUAUGGUAGAUAUUGAAGGUCCUCCUCAUCUGUGACCUCAACUCAAAGACAAUUAAUAGCCUGUGGUCUCCGCAUAAACAGCAACAAGACAAGGCUCUGGACAGCUAAGCAGCCAAUCUGCUGAGAAGUGCUCAGGUACAGAGUACUUCAUUAUGUGCGCGAACAGAAAUGCUUAAAUGGAUGAAGCAGCUAUUUACGUAUGAUAGGAGCUAAGUGGGACAUUAAAUUAAUGCCAAACAAACCUGAUGGAUCCCAGAAGGUGAACCCGUAAUCAAGUCUUUAUUGGGGACUUCUUGACAAGACCAGCUCCAGCCACUGUUCCUCAUCUCAUACAAGGUGUUCUGGAAUGGCUUUCCUUCAGCCCCACAGCAGGACAAGCAACCAAGUGCUCCAGAGAGCCAAGUGAAUUGUUACCUGUCAUAGCAUCCCAAUGUUCAUCUCUUAAUACUUGUGGGUGUGAUACAAACCACCUAAAAGAGAUUAACUGUGUCUUUCACUGCCCAGACUAGACUGUUUCCUGUGUUCCAUCAGUGCAGUUCUGCUGCUGCACAUUUUGGUUUGGUUAGCAGACCUUUAAUCAAGAAAAAAAAAUCUAAUGAGCAGCAAUUUGAAAUACAGCAUUUGGAAAGGUCAAAAUGGUACAUUACAUCCUUAUUAUCCAAAAGAACAGAUGAGUUUAAUAUCCUGACAGCAUUUUCCUGUGAAGAAGAUAUUAAACAAGAACUGAAAAUGGCACAAGGUUCCCUCUUUCUGUCUUUUGACAAAGAUUGUAACAAGAUGAUGAAAUUGUAUAGAAUAAAUCUCAUCCUGCUUUAAUGUUCAGGCUGGGGAUCUUGCCUAGAUUUCAAACAUCUAAGCUAAUAAAGAGACAAAAUAUAUGCUAUUUUUUUCAGGUAUACCCACAUGGAGCAGAAGACUUUUACCAUGUAUUUUCCUAGUUACAUGACCCAGUUUCCAUCAAUAUUUUCUAGAUUUAAAAAUAGGAAUAGUUGCUAACAGAAGGUAUGUAAUGCAUCUAAUUUCAAGAAGUAGAGCUUUGAACUGCAACAGAUAAUGCUCUGCAUCAAAACGGCUUCAAAUGUAAAUUUUUCAGCUUCCUUUUGAAAGACUGCAUAACACAAAGAAUUAAUUCCAACACACAAUGCAUUGUAUGUAUUCUGCUCUGGCGAGUCCCUGACAAUGUGGAACUGUUUGAAGGCAAAGGAAUUUGCACUAUAUCCCAUUGAUUGUUAGCAAUUCAAUUAAGAUAUGGAACUGUCACAAUUUGUUGUCUUAAAUCUUGUUAAAUUGGCCCUCGUGUUAAAUCUUAUUAUUACAGUCGAAAAAAUGCUGUGCUUAAAAAUCAAAACAUGAAUAUACAACAUGCACCUUUAUUAUUAUGACAUGCACUUGUAUUCAUUCCACAUGAGACAUGAGAAAUCUGCUGUUACAUAAGAGCAUAACAAGUUAUAUAAUAAAAGCUUUCAUGAUUAUUAAAGAAAAACAAAUUAUAUGAUUCCAAAAGGUACACCUCUUCAAGUAUAGCUGGCUGAAGUAGAUGUACAUGGCUUUGAAGAAGAACUCAUAAGUAGAAAUCAUAUGGAACCUCUUUUUUCUUCACCAUCUAGAGAAUAUAUCUGAAAAAAUAUCUUCGUGGUACUUUACGUGCAGUACCUUGCUGAGAAAACCCAUUCUGCUCUGGGCAAGUGAGAGAAGAUGAACAUGGCCCAAAUAUGUUUUCCAAGCCUUGAAUGAAAAAAAUGUUUUUUGUUUUUGUUUUCUUAGGUGGUCUUAUUUUCCACUGGAAACUGUAGAUACCUCCCUUGUUUUGCAACUGAAAUGCAGAAUAGCUUUUUGAAUGCAUUGGUAAUGUGUGACCAGUUUCGAAACUUCAGAAGUUUUGCAAAACUACAGAAAAGAAGAUCCCUGAAGGGUGCUAAUGUCCAUAAGCAUUUAUGAAAUGAAUGUUUUCCAUGUGUCUAGAAGAAAUCCACUGAAUAACAUUUAAAGUUUAUAAAGAGUUCAUUGUGAUUUAGUUAAUAGCUCCUGAAACUAAAAUGACAAGUAGCUCUUUUUUGCUUCCAAACCAGAAAUAUAAACAGGUUAUGAAGUCUCCAGAAAACAAUAAGCAAAACUGUUUUUCAGUGAUUUGUUGUUCACAGUUCAGAUUCAUGGAUUUUUACCACGUGAAUUACAAAGAAAUUGGGCCAUAUAUAAUUCUGCUAUUAAGAAAUAAAAUACAUGCUGUUGUUACCCAAUUUUUAAAAAUCAGUUAUAGAAUGACUGAGUAGAGAACCCAGGGUACUGAGGGGAGUCUCAGCAUGUAAUGGCACAAACAACUCCAACAGUUCUUAGAGAGAGAGUACCAAAUAUCUAUAGAAGCCAGUGGCAUUUCUUACACUUUUUUUCAGUUUUCUCCUGAUUAUGCAAAAUGCUGUUACCGUGUCACACACUAUUUAACGUGGGAACUACCUUGAAUACAUUAGGCAGCUUUAUUUAGUUAUUUCAUGAAAUAGAUUUUUUCCAGUAGGUGAUCACAGUAAUUCUGUUUUGAAAAAUUACCAAAACAAUCAACUGUACCUUGUGAACCAAUAUACCAGUUUGCAGUGAACUUUUAAGAGGUACCUACUUCCCUGAUUUACCUUCAAUAAAUCAGAUUAUGAUUGGGCAUUGCUGUGAAAUCUUUCACUAAUGAAGGAAGGACGUUAAGAAUAAAAUCUGAAUGUAAAAUGUUGGACCUGUGAAACCAUGAGUCACAUCUCAAAGCAAGGGAUAUUCCUUAAAUUAAUGGCAGAUUGAAAAUAAUAAUUCAGCUGAUGGAAAAUCUUUCGUAUUGAAGUAAGGUCCUAAAAGAGAGAAGUCAAAACACAGCUGACCAUGUGCAGCACACACAUUCCCACACAGAUGGCUUUGCACCAGGAGGAGCUGGUUUAUUGUAAUCCCUCUAAGAAAAGUAUCAUGAAGUAUUAGUUAAAAUACAAUUUACUGCAGCUGAUACUGUACAGAAAAUGAGUGCAUUACAUGUAGCUGUUUGUUCCUUUGGAUACUGGGAACUUCAUUAUGGGCCUCCAAGCAGGGCACAGAAUCCUGUGUAGAACUUCUGCAUAGAAAAAUUACCCAGUAUUCUAGUCUUUUGAGUACUUCUAGGGCUUUUCUAAAAGAAAAUAAUUCUGCUUACCAUUUCUACUGUCAAACUAAAAAGAUAUGCGUGUGGGAAUUUGUAACUGCUAUUUCACAUAAAGGCAAGGACAAGCAGGUGAUGCAAGUGGGAGUUGCCCAUAGGCUGCUUUGUUGUCUGGUGAGGUCUGUCCUGCAAAGAGCGUAUGCACCACCCAUAGCACAGACUUGAAGGUUGUUCUCAGUGUGGAAUAUAGUGCAGAUCUGCCUCUGCAGAGGGAAAUUGCUAUGUGGAUCACUAAUUCCUCCAUGUUUGAUGGUCUUCAGGUCUGGAUCACUGCACAUAUAUGCAUACAUCCCUGUUUUACGUCUGCAUCCUUUUGUGCUCCAUAGCGAUAUGCUGUAUUCACAUGUACCCACAUUCAAAAUCUGCACGUCUAUUGCAAACACUCCUUUGUACAUGACUCUGUCCAUCAAGCUGGAAUUGUGCAGGAAGUCAGAUGGGCUUAUUAUUACACAGCUUGGCUUAAAAUCUGGUUAUAUUUGCAUUUAAGUUUAUUUUGUCACACAGUGCUACUUGAUAUUAUAUGAAUAAAUCAUCUAUAAGCUAGAAAACACAUCAAAAUCAAGGGAACAAAGUCAGUUGCAUUAUUAAAGAGAGAAAAUAAUUUGACAUGAAAGGCUUUUUAGAGACAAUACAGCCUGUCUGAUUUACUAAUGUGCACAGAAGUUAAUAUAUUAUUCAGCCUUGCUACCACCUGACAGCUAUUCUGCAUCUGAUGGGAGAUGUGACUGUGCUCGUAGUCCAGUUCAUAGUGGACAGGUGUUGACAUCACAAAAAUCAUCAUUAGAAAUGGCACUAAUUGGCACCUUUGUUGACAACCUCAGCAGAGAGACCAGUGAUUGAACCAGCAUAGAGGCUGUCUUGCAAGCUCUGCUGGUGAGGGAUACUGGGCUCAGCUCUUCCUUUUCUGAAAUCACCCUGAGUAUUGCACAUACUUCAGGUCCUGAUUAUAUUUGCCUGUAAAUUCUAUGUGCAAGCACACUGCCAUGGCAUACACCUUGAAGUGAUGCCCCCAUACAUAGUGGGCACUGAAACCUGCCCUCCAAAUUUGGCCAACAUAAGAGACCGGGGACUUAUGCUUGUGAGGAAACAGGACCAAAGCAGAUGGAACCAAAGACUGUGGCUGCUGCAGCCACAUAUUAUCCACUCAGGGCUCCAUUUCACUCAGGCUUUUAUCUAUUUUAGUUUAUUUUAGAUGGAACUGUGGGUUGGUGGACUUCUACUGGCCACUUUAGACCUCCAUGCCUCAGUUUAUUCUUUCAUAUGAGGGUCACAAUGUUUGUCUCAGUCUCAGGUAUAGUUAGGUGUUGCUAAUUAAAGAAUGCAAUGAAGAAUUUUAACAGGUUUGAUGAAAGUCAGUAAACACAUUAAAACUCAGGCUUCACUUUUAUAGGAACACUGCUUUCUUUACAAUGCAUUUGAAUUGUAGGCAGUUACUAUUGCAUGCAUCCUUUUUGCAUUUAGCCAUCUUUCCAUUCACUCUGUUGAAUAUUAAGGUUUUUAUUCCUCUUAGCCUGGAUUGUUCAAAUUAGUGCUUAAAACUAAUUUUUCUUUGGUAUACAGAAACCUAUAUUAUUUGUGGGUUAAUUAUCUCUUUUUUUAGCUCUAGAGAAAUGCAAUGUAGGUCAAUAAUGUGACUGUAAGAUUUGAGAACAUUGUUAUGGUAAUAAAAAGAAGUAAAAAAUG